GUCGGCGAUAGGUCGACCGGGUUGGCAGCCUGGGGGGGUGCGGUGUUUCAGCCUUUCUGGCAGCCCGAUCGCGUAAUAGGACCCUAUUCAGCGUUUCGUGGAGGAUCUGAUCGAUCUGGUAACGCGCUCAAAGCUAAGGUUAGGAAACCGCGUGGGAGUGGCGUUCUUUUUGAUUUUAACCACGAAACAAGCAAGUUCGUGCAAGAAAGGAGAAGCAUCCGGAAAUUUUCGAGCAACUGCAGCGUAGUUUUACCCGCUGAGGAAUCAUCGUGCUGGUGCAGGACCAGCAGGCAUACAGAAAGAGGGCCACAAGCGGCAAUUUGGUGGUGUACGUACUGCUCAGUCAAGGCAGGGCGCGAUCGUAGAAGCUAGCUAGGUCAGGGGUACCAGCGUGCGAGCUAGACCCCUGGUGGCAGAGAGGCAUAGUGCGAGCAACGCUUGGCCAGAAGAAGAAGAGAAGAGCGGGUCACAGUUGCGGCGCGAAUCUCUCAGUCAGGCCGCCCACGAGGCGGGGCUGAGGGGAGUCAUCAAAACCAAGUAGGAGCUGGAGAUACCGUGAGCUCGACCUGAAGUGAAGCAAUCGGAGCGUUCGCGACGCUUUAAGGGGCGCUCCGCCAGAGAUCCGGAUAGGGUUCGGCCCUAACCUCACAGGAGUCGCCGUAAAGUAGGCGCCAUCCUGGAGCAGU